rfam:Proteus mirabilis strain HI4320, complete genome
GGGUGCUUGGAUCGUUUUGGUUCAAGCAUUGCGCUAGAGCCAAAAAGACAAAAGCCCCGAAUUUUAUUUUCAUAAAAUCCGAGGCAGUCUCAAAGCUCAACAACUUGAUUCUGCCUCCUUUAUUAAAAGGAGUCAAUCAAAUUGACGAAA